rnacentral:rRNA from 1 species
AACGAACGCUGGCGGCAUGCCUAACACAUGCAAGUCGAACGAAGGCUUCGGCCUUAGUGGCGCACGGGUGCGUAACGCGUGGGAAUCUGCCCUUGGGUUCGGGAUAACAGUGAGAAAUUACUGCUAAUACCGGAUGAUGACUUCGGUCCAAAGAUUUAUCGCCCAGGGAUGAGCCCGCGUAGGAUUAGCUAGUUGGUGGGGUAAAGGCCUACCAAGGCGACGAUCCUUAGCUGGUCUGAGAGGAUGAUCAGCCACAUUGGGACUGAGACACGGCCCAGACUCCUACGGGAGGCAGCAGUGGGGAAUAUUGGACAAUGGGCGAAAGCCUGAUCCAGCAAUGCCGCGUGAGUGAUGAAGGCCUUAGGGUUGUAAAGCUCUUUUACCCGGGAAGAUAAUGACUGUACCGUAAGAAUAAGCACCGGCUAACUACGUGCCAGCAGCCGCCGUAACAC